UGGGGAAUAUUGGACAAUGGGCGCAAGCCUGAUCCAGCCAUGCCGCGUGAGUGACGAAGGUCUUCGGAUUGUAAAGCUCUUUUGGCGGGGACGAUAAUGACGGUACCCGCAGAAUAAGCCCCGGCUAACUUCGUGCCAGCAGCCGCGGUAAUACGAAGGGGGCUAGCGUUGUUCGGAAUUACUGGGCGUAAAGCGCACGUAGGCGGAUUUGUUAGUCAGGGGUGAAAUCCCGGGGCUCAACCUCGGAACUGCCUUUGAUACUGCAAGUCUCGAGUCCGAUAGAGGUGAGUGGAAUUCCUAGUGUAGAGGUGAAAUUCGUAGAUAUUAGGAAGAACACCAGUGGCGAAGGCGGCUCACUGGAUCGGUACUGACGCUGAGGUGCGAAAACGUGGGGAGCAAACAGGAUUAGAUACCCUGGUAGUCCACGCCGUAAACUAUGGAUGCUAGCCGUCGGCAAGCUUGCUUGUCGGUGGCGCAGCUAACGCUUUAAGCAUCCCGCCG
rnacentral:rRNA from 1 species